AGCACUUUGGACUGUCUGAACAAACUGUCCAAUAAAGCCCGGACUUCACUGUGGCUCCACUUCUCUGGCUCUGGCUCCAUUUUGGUAAAUGUGAAGGUAGAAAGUGUGUGUGAGCUGAUGUGGAUGUGAAUUC